CCUACGGGAGGCAGCAGUGAGGAAUAUUGGUCAAUGGACGAGAGUCUGAACCAGCCAAGUAGCGUGAAGGAUGACUGCCCUAUGGGUUGUAAACUUCUUUUAUAUGGGAAUAAAAUGUUCCACGUGUGGGAUUUUGUAUGUACCAUAUGAAUAAGGAUCGGCUAACUCCGUGCCAGCAGCCGCGGUAAUACGGAGGAUCCGAGCGUUAUCCGGAUUUAUUGGGUUUAAAGGGAGCGUAGGUGGAUUGUUAAGUCAGUUGUGAAAGUUUGCGGCUCAACCGUAAAAUUGCAGUUGAAACUGGCAGUCUUGAGUACAGUAGAGGCGGGCGGAAUUCGUGGUGUAGCGGUGAAAUGCUUAGAGAUCACGAAGAACUCCGAUUGCGAAGGCAGUUCACUGGACUGCAACUGACACUGAUGCUCGAAAGUGUGGGUAUCAAACAGGAUUAGAUACCCUUGUAGUC
rnacentral:rRNA from 1 species